rnacentral:rRNA from 1 species
UACGAAGGGGGCAAGCGUUGUCCGGAAUUAUUGGGCGUAAAGAGCGCGCAGGCGGCUAUUUAAGUCUACCGUGAAAGCUUACGGCUCAACCGUAACGGGCCGGUGGAUACUGGAUGGCUUGAGGGCAGGAGAGGAAAGUGGAAUUCCCAGUGUAGCGGUGAAAUGCGUAGAGAUUGGGAGGAACACCAGUGGCGAAGGCGACUUUCUGGACUGUUACUGACGCUGAGGCGCGAAAGCUGGGGGAGUGAACGGGAUUAGAUACCCCGGUAAUCCCAGCCGUAAACGAUGGGUACUAGGUGUAGGAGGUAUCGACCCCUUCUGUGCCGAAGCUAACGCAUUAAGCACCCCGCCUGGGGAGUACGUACGCAAGUAUGAA